GGAUAACUUACCCUUAGGACUGGGAUAACUCUGGGAAACUGGGGAUAAUACUGGAUAUUAGGCUAUGCCUGGAAUGGUUUGCCUUUGAAAUGUUUUUUUUUCGCCUAAGGAUAGGUCUGCGGCUGAUUAGGUCGUUGGUGGGGUAAUGGCCCACCAAGCCGAUGAUCGGUACGGGUUGCGAGAGCAAGGGCCCGGAGAUGGAACCUGAGACAAGGUUCCAGACCCUACGGGGUGCAGCAGGCGCGAAACCUCCGCAAUGUACGAAAGUGCGACGGGGGGAUCCCAAGUGUUAUGCUUUUUUGUAUGACUUCUCAUUAGUGUAAAAAGCUUUUAGAAUAAGAGCUGGGCAAGACCGGUGCCAGCCGCCGCGGUAACACCGGCAGCUCGAGUGGUAGCUGUUUUUAUUGGGCCUAAAGCGUUCGUAGCCGGUUUGAUAAGUCUUUGGUGAAAGCUUGUAGCUUAACUAUAAGAAUUGCUGGAGAUACUAUUAGACUUGAAGUCGGGAGAGGUUAGAGGUACUACCGGGGUAGGGGUGAAAUCCUAUAAUCCUGGGAGGACCACCUGUGGCGAAGGCGUCUAACUGGAACGAUCUUGACGGUGAGUAACGAAAGCCAGGGGCGCGAACCGGAUUAGAUACCCGGGUAGUCCUGGCCGUAAACGAUGUGGACUUGGUGUUGGAAUGGCUUUGAGUUGUUCCGGUGCCGAAGGGAAGCUGUUAAGUCCACCGCCUGGGAAGUACGGUCGCAAGACUGAA
rnacentral:rRNA from 1 species